rfam:Schistosoma margrebowiei strain Zambia genome assembly, scaffold: SMRZ_contig0002322
AUCCAGCUAACGAGUCCCAAAUAGGACGAAACGUGCGUCAAACUGGAU